rnacentral:tRNA from 2 species
GCCAACGUAGCUCAGGGGUAGAGCAAUUCUUUCGUAAAGAAUAGGUCGUGGGUUCGAAUCCCACCGUUGGCU